rnacentral:rRNA from 1 species
AGUGAACGCUGGCGGCAGGCCUAACACAUGCAAGUCGAACGAGUGGCGGACGGGUGAGGAAUACAUCGGAAUCUACUCUGUGGUGGGGGAUAACGUAGGGAAACUUAGGCUAAUACCGCAUACGAUCGAAUGAGCCGAGGUCGGAUUAGCUAGUUGGAGGGGUAAAGGCCCACCAAGGCGACGAUCCUUAGCUGGUCUGAGAGGAUGAGCAGCCACACUGGAACGGAGACACGGUCCAGACUCCUACGGGAGGCAGCAGUGGGGAAUAUUGGACAAUGGGCGAAAUCCUGACCCAGCCAUGCCGCGGGUGUGAAGAAGGUCUUCGGAUUGUAAAGUACGUUAAGUUGGGAGGCGUUACCAACAGAAUAAGCACCGGCUAACUUCGUGCCAGCAGCCGCGGUAAUAC